rnacentral:lncRNA from 1 species
UCGCUUGUGAAGUCAACAUGGCUGACACAGGAACUACUGUACUUGACACUAUGAGUAAGGAAGUGAACGACCUUUUCCGGAAAGGUCUGGAACUAGAUCACGAAACGGGAAAACAAUCCUGCCUGACAGAUAUGUGCAGCACCGCCGCAUGUAUUAUGCGG